rnacentral:rRNA from 1 species
GUCGGUGAAUAUAGGCAAGGGGUCACACCUGUACCCAUUCCGAACACAGAAGUUAAGACCUUGCCGCCGAUGAUACUGCUAUGCGGGAAAGUAGGUGAUCGCCGACU